rnacentral:rRNA from 1 species
GCGUACCUUUUGUAUAAUGGGUCAGCGACUUAUAUUCUGUAGCAAGGUUAACCGAAUAGGGGAGCCGAAGGGAAACCGAGUCUUAACUGGGCGUUAAGUUGCAGGGUAUAGACCCGAAACCCGGUGAUCUAGCCAUGGGCAGGUUGAAGGUUGGGUAACACUAACUGGAGGACCGAACCGACUAAUGUUGAAAAAUUAGCGGAUGACUUGUGGCUGGGGGUGAAAGGCCAAUCAAACCGGGAGAUAGCUGGUUCUCCCCGAAAGCUAUUUAGGUAGCGCCUCGUGAAUUCAUCUCCGGGGGUAGAGCACUGUUUCGGCAAGGGGGUCAUCCCGACUUACCAACCCGAUGCAAACUGCGAAUACCGGAGAAUGUUAUCACGGGAGACACACGGCGGGUGCUAACGUCCGUCGUGAAGAGGGAAACAACCCAGACCGCCAGCUAAGGUCCCAAAGUCAUGGUUAAGUGGGAAACGAUGUGGGAAGGCCCAGACAGCCAGGAUGUUGGCUUAGAAGCAGCCAUCAUUUAAAGAAAGCGUAAUAGCUCACUGGUCGAGUCGGCCUGCGCGGAAGAUGUAACGGGGCUAAACCAUGCACCGAAGCUGCGGCAGCGACGCUUAUGCGUUGUUGGGUAGGGGAGCGUUCUGUAAGCCUG